rnacentral:rRNA from 1 species
AGAGUUUGAUCCUGGCUCAGACGAUGGCUGUGGGCGUGCCUUUUACAUGCCAGGCCAGGGGAAUUGAUGACGAGCUUGCUUCUUUGAGACUUGCCGGACAUCGGGUGAGUAACACGUGGGCAACCUGCCCUCAAGUUUGGGACAACUACCCUUCCCGGUAGCUAAUACCGAAUAAUGGUUUUCUUCGCCUGAUGGAAACUGGUCUCACUGAGCAAUCUGCCACUUGGGGAUGGGCCUGCGGCGCAUUCUCUAGUUGGUGGGGUAACGGCUCACCAAGGCGACGAUGCCCCGCCGACCUGAAAGGGCGAUCGGCCACACUGGGACUGAUAGUCUGCCCCCACUCCUACCUUAGGCAGCAGUAGGGAAUCUUCCGCAAUGGCUGAAGGCCUGACGGAUUUUGCCGCGUGAGUGAUGAAGGUUUUCGGAUCGUAAAGCUCUGUUGCCCUAUUUAACGCUUGGGAGAGUAACUGCUCUCGGGUGACGGUACCUGAGAAGAAAGCCCCGGCUAACUAGUUGCCAGAACCCCCAUUAGUUCAUAUUUCGCAAGCGUUGUCCGGAAUUAUUGGCUCAUGAGCGCGCGCACGCGAUCAUUGCAUUCUGGUGUUUAAUCCCGGGGCUCAACCACGGAUCGCACUGUCCACUGCGUGACUUGACUGCAUAUUACGAGAGUGUGCCUUCCACGUGUAUGGUCGAACUGCGUAGAUAUGUGGAGGAACACAUGCUGGAGAAUGCGACUCUCUGGCCUGUGACUGACGCUGAGGUGCAUAAGCGUGGCGAUAAAUGCGUGGAUAAGCAAACAGCGAUUAGAUACAACGGUAGUCCACGUGCGUACACGAUGAGUGCUAGCUGUUAGGGGAUUCGAUACCGAGAUGCCGAAGUUAACACAAUGAGCACUCCGCAUGGUGAGUGCGGUGACAAGGCUGAACCUCAAUGGAAUAAGCGGCAACCUGCGCACACAAGAGAGUAUGAGGUAUAAUUCGAAGCGACGCGAAGAGCCUUUUCAGGUCUCGACAUCCCUUUGAUCGGUACAGAGAUGUAUCUGUCUUUCGGGACAGAGGAGACAGGUGGUGCAUGGUUGUCGUCAGCCAGUGUCGUGAGAUGUUGGGUUAAGUCCCGCAACGAGCGCCAUCCUUGAUACUAGUUGCCACCAUUUUGGAUGGGCGCUUUAAGGGGUCUCCCGGUGACAACCCGGAGGAAGGUGGGGACGACGUCAAAUCAUCGUGCGCCCUAUGGCAUGGACUCCACGCGUGAUGCAACGGACGAUCCAACGGUCUGCGAAGCCCCGAGGUGUAACGAAUCCUAAAAAGCCGGUCUCAGUUCGCAUUGCAGGUUUCAACUCGCGAACAUGAAGUCGGAAUUGCUAGUAAUCGCGGAUCAGCAUGCUCGCGGUGAAUACGUUCCCAGGUCUUGUACACACCGCUCGUCACACCACGAGAGUUUAUAACACCAGAAGUCGACGGGGUAACCCCAAGGACCCAUCCGCCCAAGGUGGGAUAGAUGAGCGGGGUGACCCAAUGGAACAAUGCUGAA